AUCUAGCUGACGAGUCCCAAAUAGGGCGAAACGUGAGUCCUGGAU
rnacentral:hammerhead_ribozyme from 1 species